UGCAAGUCGAACGGAAAGGNCCUUCGGGGUGCUCGAGUGGCGAACGGGUGAGUAACACGUGGGUGAUCUGCCCUGCACUUUGGGAUAAGCCUGGGAAACUGGGUCUAAUACCGAAUACACCCUGCUGGUCGCAUGGCCUGGUGGGGGAAAGCUUUUGCGGUGUGGGAUGGGCCCGCGGCCUAUCAGCUUGUUGGUGGGGUUAUGGCCCACCAAGGCGACGACGGGUAGCCGGCCUGAGAGGGUGACCGGCCACACUGGGACUGAGAUACGGCCCAGACUCCUACGGGAGGCAGCAGUGGGGAAUAUUGCACAAUGGGCGCAAGCCUGAUGCAGCGACGCCGCGUGAGGGAUGACGGCCUUCGGGUUGUAAACCUCUUUCAGUAGGGACGAAGCGCAAGUGACGGUACCUAUAGAAGAAGGACCGGCCAACUACGUGCCAGCAGCCGCGGUAAUACGUAGGGUCCGAGCGUUGUCCGGAAUUACUGGGCGUAAAGAGCUCGUAGGUGGUUUGUCGCGUUGUUCGUGAAAACUCACAGCUCAACUGUGGGCGUGCGGGCGAUACGGGCAGACUGGAGUACUGCAGGGGAGACUGGAAUUCCUGGUGUAGCGGUGGAAUGCGCAGAUAUCAGGAGGAACACCGGUGGCGAAGGCGGGUCUCUGGGCAGUAACUGACGCUGAGGAGCGAAAGCGUGGGGAGCGAACAGGAUUAGAUACCCUGGUAGUCCACGCCGUAAACGGUGGGUACUAGGUGUGGGUUUCCUUCCUUGGGAUCCGUGCCGUAGCUAACGCAUUAAGUACCCCGCCUGGGGAGUACGGCCGCAAGGCUAAAACUCAAAGAAAUUGACGGGGGCCCGCACAAGCGGCGGAGCAUGUGGAUUAAUUCGAUGCAACGCGAAGAACCUUACCUGGGUUUGACNUGCACAGGACGCUGGUAGAGAUAUCAGUUCCCUUGUGGCCUGUGUGC
rnacentral:rRNA from 1 species